rnacentral:rRNA from 1 species
GAUUUCCCUAGUAACGGCGAGCGAACCGGAAAGAGCCCAGCUUGAAAAUCGAGGCGCCUCGCGCCUCGAAUUGUAGUCUGGAGAAGCUCCCUCUGCGGCGCACCGGGCCCAAGUCCCCUGGAAAGGGGCGUCAGAGAGGGUGAGAACCCCGUCGAGCCCGGACUGUGCCGCUCCACGAGGAGCUGUCUGCGAGUCGGGCUGUUUGGGAAUGCAGCCCUAAGUGGGAGGUAAAUUCCUUCCAAGGCUAAAUAUGGGCAAGAGACCGAUAGCGAACAAGUACCGCGAGGGAAAGAUGAAAAGGACUUUGAAAAGAGAGUUAAAAAGUGCUUGAAAUUGCUGGGAGGGAAGCGAAUGGAAGCUGCGGGUGCGCCCCGGUUGGAUGUGGAACGGCCUUCAAAAGCUGGUCCGCCGCUCAACGCGGGGCGCUGGUCAGCGUGGGCCUCCGCGCCGGGACAAGAGCGGGACUUCGCGUCCCGUCUAUGCCGGUGCGGGGGCCGAGGAACGAAGCGCGCGCCUCCUUCUGGCGUGGGGCCCGCCCCAACUGCGCGCUCGGGACGCUGGCGUAUUGAGCUCUUCAUCCGACCCGUCUUGAAACACGGACCAAGGAGUCUAACAUGUAUGCGAGCCGGUGGGCGGCAAACCCAUUGAGGCGCAAGUAACCUGACAGGUGGGACCCCGACCGCAAGGGAGGGAGCACCAUCGACCGACCGUGAUCUUCUGUGAAAGGUUUGAGUGCGAGCAUACCCGUUGGGACCCGAAAGAUGGUGAACUAUGCCUGAGCAGGGCGAAGCCAGAGGAAACUCUGGUGGAGGCUCGUAGCGAUACUGACGUGCAAAUCGUUCGUCAGACUUGGGUAUAGGGGCGAAAGACUAAUCGAACCAUCUAGUAGCUGGUUCCCUCCGAAGUUUCCCUCAGGAUAGCUGGAGCUCGUGUAAGAGUUUUAUCAGGUAAAGCGAAUGAUU